GUCUACGGCCAUACCACCCUAAACAUACCCGAUCUCAUCUGAUCUCAGAAGCUAAGCAUCAUUGGGCCUGGUUAGUAGUUGGAUGGGAGAAUGCACAGGGACUUCGAACU
ensembl:rRNA 5S_rRNA 5S ribosomal RNA